rnacentral:tmRNA from 1 species
GGGGCCGAUCCGGAUUCGACGGGGGUCACAAAACAGCGUAGGGCAUGCCGAGCACCAGUUCGCUCGUAAAUCCACUGGAAAACCAAUAAACGCCAACGACGAGCGUUUCGCCUUAGCCGCUUAAGCUAGGCCGCUGCACUGAUUUGUCUUUGGGUCAGGUGGGUAAAACCACAGCAGCGUCAUAUACAAAGAAUCGGCCUUUGCUGGGUCACACAGUAAAGGGCUAAAGCUACGUGAAUCGCCUUGAACCGGCCUGUCGGCUGGCUAAGUUCCGGGUUAAAUCAAAAUAGGUCGACUAAGCAUGUAGAACUGCCUGCGGCGGGCUUUCGGACGGGGGUUCAAUUCCCCCCGGCUCCACCA